rnacentral:snRNA from 1 species
GUCUCUUUGGAGACAUCCUAUAAAAUUAGAACGAUACAGAUAAGAUUAGCAUGGCCUUUGCGCAAGGAUGACACUAACAAAUCGAAAAAUGGUCCAAUUUUUU